rnacentral:rRNA from 1 species
UAACACAUGCAAGUCGAGCGAGAAAUUGAUUAAUGAAGCUUCGGUGGAAUAAAUUGAUGGAAAGCGGCGGACGGGUGAGUAACGCGUGGGCAACCUGCCUUUCACAGAGGGAUAGCCAAAGGAAACUUUGAUUAAAACCUCAUAACACUGCUAGUUUGCAUAAGCAAGCAGUCAAAGAUUUAUCGGUGAGAGAUGGGCCCGCGUCUGAUUAGUUAGUUGGUGAGGUAACGGCUCACCAAGGCGACGAUCAGUAGCCGACCUGAGAGGGUGAUCGGCCACAUUGGAACUGAGACACGGUCCAAACUCCUACGGGAGGCAGCAGUGGGGAAUAUUGCACAAUGGAGGAAACUCUGAUGCAGCAACGCCGCGUGAACGAAGAAGGCUUUCGAGUCGUAAAGUUCUGUCCAAAGGGAAGAAAACAAUGACGGUACCUUUGGAGGAAGCCCCGGCUAAAUACGUGCCAGCA